rnacentral:rRNA from 1 species
UACGUAGGGUGCAAGCGUUGUCCGGAAUUAUUGGGCGUAAAGAGCUCGUAGGCGGCUUGUCACGUCUGCUGUGAAAACUCGGGGCUCAACCCCGAGCCUGCAGUGGAUACGGGCUAGCUAGAGUGCGGUAGGGGAGACUGGAAUUCCUGGUGUAGCGGUGAAAUGCGCAGAUAUCAGGAGGAACACCGGUGGCGAAGGCGGGUCUCUGGACCGAUACUGACGCUGCGGAGCGAAAGCGUGGGGAGCGAACAGG